rnacentral:rRNA from 1 species
UACGUAGGGGGCAAGCGUUGUCCGGAUUUAUUGGGCGUAAAGAGCGUGUAGGCGGUUUGGUAGGUCCGUUGUGAAAACUCGAGGCUCAACCUCGAGACGCCGAUGGAAACCAUCAGACUAGAGUCCGGAAGAGGAGAGUGGAAUUCCUGGUGUAGCGGUGAAAUGCGCAGAUAUCAGGAAGAACACCCGUGGCUAAGGCGGCUCACUGGACCGGCAUUGACGCUGAGGUGCGAAAGCGUGGGGAGCAAACAGG